CUCACCUACAGUCAGAGGGGCAGAGCUGUUGGCCCCGCGGGGGCUGUGGCUACACACGGACACUCAGGGUGUCUGGCUGUGAGAAGCCCAGGUUGGGAGCUACAGCUGUCAAGCACUGUGAGGUACCCCAAGUUGCAGGGCAAGUGGUGACACAGCCCCUCAGUGCUCUUGCAGCCUGGAAUGUCGUAAGUAUCUAGGACCCUUAAACAGAAGGCUCACCACUAGAUAGUAACAGCUGCCCUGUCCCCUCUGUUUUUUACUUGGAGAGAGCCCCCUGCCCCCACUGUUAGUGAGUGAGAUUACAGUCACCAUGACUGUAGCUAAUAUGCUUCAAUUAGGGCAUAUGAAGUACAGUUCUGCUGCCCUUUAGUCACCAAAGAGGGAUAACAACCUUUCAUUACCUCUGCAUCCAAGACUUAGUGAAUUUUAACCCAAAACAGCCAAAAUGUAUCACCUUGGCAAGAUGUGUGCGGCUGUGCAGAUAUGGUCAGUUCACGAAGUCAUUUCCUCCAGUUCAGCAGUAGACGGAGAGCUCAUUGGACUACUGUCUUACCUAGGUUUUAGCAACAUUGCUCACAGGGCAGAGUUAAGGUGGCAUUGGCAGGUACCUUAACUCUCUAUUCCCUGGGUUUCAGAGGUUAAGUUUUGCUGAACUCAGUGUUCUGGAAAGGUAGGAGAUACUACUGAGCAACCUUAAACUCUGCAAUAACAAAGUUUUUUGUCAGAGAAUUUCCUAGUUUUCCUUUGUUAUACGGGAGAUCAGAGUACAUGAUCAGAAUGAUCCCUUCUGGCCUUGGAAUCUAUUAUUCAGACUUCCUGCAGAGAGGCCUCCAGUCCCACCACACACAGGGGACAGGGAGAGGAGUACAUACUCCCCAGAGGGGCAGGGCCUCUCUGGAUCCCAGCUCACGUGGAGGGAUAGGAGGAGGGGCUCAGACUUCCUCCCAGAGGGAGGGGUAGGGUCCUUUUGAGAUUCUGGUUCACAUAUGGGGGCAGCGAGAGGGAAUCAGACCCCCAGCUCCCAGCACAGCAUAGAGGACAGGGAGCAGAGCUCAGAGGAGAAGGCACUCCAGCUCCCAGCACAGCAUAGGGGACAGGGAGCAGAUCUCAGAGGGGAAGGCACUCCAGAUCCCAGCACAGUGGCAGGGAACAGGGAGCAGAUCUCAGAGGGGAAGGCACUCCAGAUCCCAGCACAGUGGCAGGGGACAGGGAGCAGAUCUCAGAGGGGAAGGCACUCCAGAUCCCAGCACAGUGGCAGGGAACAGGGAGCAGAGCUCAGAUCUCAGAGGGGAAGGCACUCCAGAUCCCAGCACAGUGGCAGGGAACAGGGAGCAGAGCUCAGAUCUCAGAGGGGAAGGCACUCCAGAUCCCAGCACAGCAUAGGGGACAGGGAGCAGAGCUCAGAGGGGAAGGUCACUCCAGAUCCCAGCACAAUGGCAGGGGAGGGAAGAAUGUGGAGGUGACUAGGCCCCUGCCCUUACUCCUCACCUCUCCCACUUUCACCUACUCCAUCUCCUCCCCUUCCACUCCCCCAAUUCCCUCCCUGUUCCACUGGCCUAAACCCUCCCAACCCUUCUCCCUACUUAUCCCUCUACCCCAUCCACCUCCCCUACCUGCAUGCUGCCAAACAGCCCGGUUUUAUCACUGCUUCUCCACAAGUCUGCGUUCCCCUUCCCAGCUCGGACCCUGCCCCAUAUUCCCUUGCAGGGGCUCUGUGUAGUGUGCCCCAUAUUCCCACUUCACCCCAUACGCUCCAUUCCCUCCACCCCAUUCUACCCCCCCCCCCCAUAUUAGCUGCUCUGCAUGUCCGGAUACUCUACUCCCCCAAUCUCUCUGUGUGCCCUAUUCCCCUUCCUCUGCAUUCCCACCUUCCCCCUACCCAUGCCAAGGGCACUGCGUGGCCUCCCUCUCCCCAGUCCAGGGUCCCCCAUUCUCCCCUCUCUGCCCAUGCUCCUCCCCCUCCCACAGCAGAGUCCCCCAUUCUCCCUCAUGGCAGGGGCUCUGUGUGAACCUUCAUUAAGCCCUUUCCCCUUCCCUGCCAUGCCUGGGGUUCUGUGACUGUCCCUCAUUUCCCUCCCUCUCCUCAUACCAGGGUACCCCAGUCUAACUCUGCCACUUCCCCUUCUCCCCCCAAACCAGAGUUCCCCAUUUCCUCCACCCCAGGCCAGGGGCCUUUCCCCUCACCAUUAGUCAUCUUUCUGGGUGGUGAUAAAUCACUCAGGAUUUCAACAUUUAAACUCUAUUGGGAGGAUCGGCAUUGCUGAGAUGGGGUAUUGUUACAUUUAACCAGUGCAUUAACCAGCUCUUUCAUCUCAGACAGUGGAAGGGGGUGCUUGAGGCAAUGGCUGUGCUAAAGAGUCGGUGGGGGCUUCAUGUGCCCCCAUUAUCCCCUCUUUGUUUUCUGAUUUCCCCCCAAAUCAGUAAGGUUCUGGUCACCAGCGUCUAGAACUUUCCCUGAAAUUUUGGAAUUGAUCAGUUGCAGCAUUCAAAAGUUUAGACAAACAAGAAAAAAGCAGCAAUGCCACUUAGUUGAGGGUACGGCCUUGGUGCACUCAGUGAAAAAUGUCAUGAGUACUUCCUGUUUAAGGGGCUGUGAACCGGAAACCCCUUGGCCUUCAAGUGAUCAUUUCCAUUGUUCAAGAAACAUGAUUACAUUGUCCGGUCUUUCAUCUUGCCUCCAGCCAACCUGUGCUGACUGAUCAACCAGGGCGGAUGCUCUCCUGUGCUAUUGCAGGUGGAGAAGGUAGCAACAUGCCCUGCCCUCAUUCCCACAUCAGCGGAGAGCAUGUCUCGUUUGUCUAGGAGAACGUGGUUUGAACGUCUUCUAAAGUCACUGUACAAAUUAGCAGGCCACAUUCCCCAAAAGUUAAAAAACACUUGAGAGGCAGCUACUAGCCCUGUUCCUACAAAUCAUUCUCAGCUCUCUGCCACAUGCAGGGUUCAGAUUUACAGUGCAAGGGUGUCACUCCGGUUCAAUGGCUAUUGCAUGUCCCCUUGAGCCACCCACGUCAUCUGAUCAGAGCGUGGCUGGAAAGCCUCUUGCUACCUCUGCCCAUUUCCCUCUCUUCAUUGCACGAGUGUUUGGCAUGUACCAGUCUAGGGAGCUGAGCUCUUCCGUGAAUAAUGUUUUCAAUGGAGCUUCCCCAAAGGGGCACACGCGGAGAUGAACAUUGAGCAACCGGGUGGGGGAUGGUGAAAGCCACGGUUUGAGCCCCACGUGUGCAAAAAUAAACAUUGUGAGAAGCU